rnacentral:rRNA from 1 species
GGGAUUGCCCUAGUAACGGCGAGUGAAGCGGCAACAGCUCAAAUUUGAAAUCUGGCUCUUUUAGAGUCCGAGUUGUAAUUUGCAGAGGGCGCUUUGGCGUUGGGAGCGGUCCAAGUUCUUUGGAACAGGACGUCACAGAGGGUGAGAAUCCCGUACGUGGUCGCUAUCCUUCGCCGUGUAAAGCCCCUUCGACGAGUCGAGUUGUUUGGGAAUGCAGCUCUAAAUGGGAGGUAAAUUUCUUCUAAAGCUAAAUACUGGCCAGAGACCGAUAGCGCACAAGUAGAGUGAUCGAAAGAUGAAAAGCACUUUGGAAAGAGAGUCAAAUAGCACGUGAAAUUGUUGAAAGGGAAGCGCUUGCAGCCAGACUUGCCUGUAGUUGCUUAUCUGGACUUUUGUCCAGUGCACUCUUCUGCGGGCAGGCCAGCAUCAGUUUGGGCGGUUGGAUAAAGGUCUCUGUCAUGUACCUCCUUUCGGGGAGGCCUUAUAGGGGAGACGACAUGCAACCAGCCUGGACUGAGGUCCGCGCAUCUGCUAGGAUGCUGGCGUAAUGGCUGUAAGCGGCCCGUCUUGAAACACGGACCAAGGAGUCUAACAUCUAUGCGAGUGUUUGGGUGUCAAGCCCAGACGCGUAAUGAAAGUGAACGGAGGUGGGAACCUUUUAGGUGCACCAUCGACCGAUCCUGAUGUCUUCGGAAGGAUUUGAGUAAGAGCAUAGCUGUUGGGACCCGAAAGAUGGUGAACUAUGCUUGAAUAGGGUGAAGCCAGAGGAAACUCUGGUGGAGGCUCGCAGCGGUUCUGACGUGCAAAUCGAUCGUCAAAUUUGGGCAUAGGGGCG